CCUGGUUGCACCAUGAGAGGAGGAUGACUGCAUCAAAGCUCCCAAACAGAAGUUUCACUUUGAGUCAAGUUCUGGAUAUGUUGGAUCUAGGUGACUGCCCAGACAAGGCAUGCAACAUUGUAGUUAUCCCUCAAAAUGAGAAAGAUGCUGUCCUCAGUGAUUGUGAUAGCGAUGGGUCAGAUAUGGACUACGGACAGGCCAUUUGCCAGCCAGGCUGUUGAAUGCAUAUGCUGAACCUAUGCGAACAGAUCAUGACAGGAACAACGUUAUCAGUGAUGAUGACCUACCCCUCACCACCCCCCUCCGUUGUUGAUAAUGAAGAGCCAAGGGUUUCUACAAGCCAUAGGGGUCAGCCAGAAGAGCCAAGGGUCUCUACAAGCCAUAGGGGUCAGCCAGAAGAGCCAAGGGAAAAGCUGCAGGUGGUCAAAAAUAAAGAUUGAGUGUUCAAACAAUCGAAGAGGCCUGCCACUGAUGUGAUUCCAAAACACAUAGUAUACAGCCCAAAUAUGCAAAAGUUUGGCACAAAAACACUGAGCCACGGAAGGAGAUCUCUACUGGCUGCUACUGUUGAAGAUCAGGCAAGAUAUGACAAAGCUUCUCACUGGCCAAUCAACACGAUGCACCGGUUCCAGAGAAGUCGUCAUUGUGACAAACAUACAACCUAUGCAUGUGAGAAAUGCAAAGUGCCACUGCACAUUUAGUGCUUCAAGAUAUACCAUGGACAGUAGAAAAGGAGAAAAGACCGAAUGAAAAAGGGCUGAAAAAGACAAAAGAAAAAUAGAAAAGUUGAUAAAGGGUGAGGAGAAGCAGUACAACUGACUCUAGGAAGAAAAUAAAAGUUGACGACAAAGACAAUCAAAAUGACUGAAAUGUUUUUGGAACAGAAGGUCAAUUGAUUCAAGACAUCCUGUAUGACAGUAGGUCUGACUGAUCGUAGUUCAAAACAGUGAUGCACAAACUAAUCUUGCACUUGGUUCUGAAGCUCUAUGAUAUAUACGUAUAUAUAAGCACUCAUUGUGCAGUGGCGCUUUUUAAAUAUAUAUAUAUAUAUAUAUAUAUAUAUAUAUAUAUAUAUAUAUAUAUAUAUAUAUAUAUAUAUAUAUAUAUAUUUGUAUUUUGUUCAGUGUAGGCCUCUACUUGAAUGCAUAUUCUACAGGCUACCUCUAUCCAAAAUGUUACCUUUGUGUUCAGUGGGAAUGAAUCACAUGACUGCUAUACAGUUGUUAGUGAAUGUUGCACUAAAAUGUCACAAUGACAAUGUUACAAUGAAUAUUGCACUAAAGCACAAGUUCAACUGUUACAAUAAAGUUACAAUAUUAAUGUUUCAAUACAUAUUGAACUAAAGUAACAAUGUUACAAUA